AUUGAACGCUGGCGGCAGGCCUAACACAUGCAAGUCGAGCGGAUGACGGGAGCUUGCUCCUUGAUUCAGCGGCGGACGGGUGAGUAAUGCCUAGGAAUCUGCCUGGUAGUGGGGGACAACGUUUCGAAAGGAACGCUAAUACCGCAUACGUCCUACGGGAGAAAGCAGGGGACCUUCGGGCCUUGCGCUAGCAGAUGAGCGCGGGUCGGAUUAGCUUGUUGGUGAGGUAAUGGCUCACCAAGGCGACGAUCCGUAACUGGUCUGAGAGGAUGAUCAGUCACACUGGAACUGAGACACGGUCCAGACUCCUACGGGAGGCAGCAGUGGGGAAUAUUGGACAAUGGGCGAAAGCCUGAUCCAGCCAUGCCGCGUGUGUGAAGAAGGUCUUCGGAUUGUAAAGCACUUUAAGUUGGGAGGAAGGGUUGUAGAUUAAUACUCUGCAAUUUUGACGUUACCGACAGAAUAAGCACCGGCUAACUCUGUGCCAGCAGCCGCCGUAA
rnacentral:rRNA from 1 species